GGGUAUAUGGCUCAGUGGUAGAGUGCUUUCCUAGCAUGCAUGAGGCCCUGGGUUUGAUCCUCAGCAUCACCA
rnacentral:tRNA from 1 species